rnacentral:rRNA from 1 species
CAGUAGCCGCGGUAAUACAGAGGGUGCGAGCGUUAAUCGGAUUUACUGGGCGUAAAGCGUGCGUAGGCGGCUUCUUAAGUCGGAUGUGAAAUCCCCGGGCUCAACCUGGGAAUGGCAGUGGAUACUGGCAAGCUAGAGUGUGUCAGAGGAUGGUGGAAUUCCCGGUGUAGCGGUGAAAUGCGUAGAGAUCGGGAGGAACAUCAGUGGCGAAGGCGGCCAUCUGGGACAACACUGACGCUGAGGCACGAAAGCGUGGGGAGCAAACAGGAUUAGAUACCCCCGUAGUCCCUGUCUCUUAUAA